GCGAAUCCGACUUCAUGCGGUCGGGUUGCAGACCGCAAUCUGAACUGGGGCCGGCUCUGGGGGUUUGCUCCACCUCGCGGUCUUGCGUCCCUUUGUACCGGCCAUUGUAGCACGUGUGCAGCCCCGGAUGUAAGGGCCAUACUGACUUGACGUCGUCCCCACCUUCCUCCUGUGUAAACAGGCAGUCUGGCCAGAGUUCCCGCCAUUACGCGCUGGCAACUGGCCACAGGGGUUGCGUUCGUUGCUGGACUUAACCAAACACCUCACGGCACGAACUGACGACAGCCAUGCAGCACCUGUGUGACACCCUCGAAGGAAUCCCGCUUUCACGGGACGUGCAGUCACAUGUCAAACCCGGGUAAGGUUCUUCGCGUUGCAUCGAAUUAAGCCACAUGCUCCUCCGCUUGUGCGGGCCCCCGUCAAUUUCUUUGAGUUUUAGCCUUGCGGCCGUACUCCCCAGGCGGCACACUUAACACGUUAGCUGCGGCACGGGGGGGGUG
rnacentral:rRNA from 1 species